rnacentral:miRNA from 1 species
GCUGACACAUCCCAGGCCAAUCUCCAGCAGACCCUCCCUCCCAGACCCUCCCACCUCCUGGACAGCAUCGAUGUUGAAGCUGCCUUCAACAUGGAUGCUGUCCAGGAGGUGGGAGGGUCUGGGAGGGAGGGUCUGCUGGAGAUUGGCCGGGAUGUGUCAG